rnacentral:misc_RNA from 1 species
GAUGAAGAACGCAGCGAAAUGCGAUACGUAAUGUGAAUUGCAGAAUUCAGUGAAUCAUCGAGUCUUUGAACGCACAUUGCGCCCCCUGGUAUUCCGGGGGGCAUGCCUGUCCGAGCGUCAUUGCUGCCCUCAAGCACGGCUUGUGUGUUGGGCCUCCGUCCUCCUCCCGGGGGACGGGCCCGAAAGGCAGCGGCGGCACCGCGUCCGGUCCUCGAGCGUAUGGGGCUUCGUCACCCGCUCUUGUAGGCCCGGCCGGCGCUUGCCGACACAUCAAUCUUUUUUCCAGGUUGACCUCGGAUCAGGGAGGGAUACCCGCUGAACUUAAGCAUAUCAAUAAGCGGAGGA